rnacentral:rRNA from 1 species
UGGGGAAUAUUGCACAAUGGGCGCAAGCCUGAUGCAGCCAUGCCGCGUGUAUGAAGAAGGCCUUCGGGUUGUAAAGUACUUUCAGUCGGGAGGAAGGUGGUAAGGUUAAUAACCUUGGCAAUUGACGUUACCGACAGAAGAAGCACCGGCUAACUCCGUGCCAGCAGCCGCGGUAAUACGGAGGGUGCAAGCGUUAAUCGGAAUUACUGGGCGUAAAGCGCACGCAGGCGGUUGAUUGAGUCAGAUGUGAAAUCCCCGGGCUUAACCCGGGAACUGCAUUCGAAACUGGCAGGCUAGAGUCUUGUAGAGGGGGGUAGAAUUCCAGGUGUAGCGGUGAAAUGCGUAGAGAUCUGGAGGAAUACCGGUGGCGAAGGCGGCCCCCUGGACAAAGACUGACGCUCAGGUGCGAAAGCGUGGGGAGCAAACAGG